rnacentral:rRNA from 1 species
CAAUAGCGUAUAUUAAAGUUGUUGCAGUUAAAAAGCUCGUAGUUGGAUUUCGGGGUGGCCUGCCUGGUCCACCGCAAGGUGAGUACUGGUCAGCCGCCCUUCCUCUCGAAAGCCCCGACUGCUCUUCAUUGCAGUGGUCGGGUAGUUCGGGACGUUUACUUUGAAAAAAUUAGAGUGUUCAAGGCAGGCCGUCGCCUGAAUACAUUAGCAUGGAAUAAUGGAAGAGGACCUCGGUCCUAUUUUGUUGGUUUCUAGGGCCGAAGUAAUGAUUAAGAGGGACAGUUGGGGGCAUUCGUAUUUAAUUGUCAGAGGUGAAAUUCUUGGAUUUAUGAAAGACGAACUUCUGCGAAAGCAUUUGUCAAGGAUGUUUUCAUUAA